AUUGAACGCUGGCGGCAUGCCUUACACAUGCAAGUCGAACGGCAGGCACGGGAGCGAAUCCUGGUGGCGAGUGGCGAACGGGUGAGUAAUAUAUCGGAAGUACCCGGUCGUGGGGGAUAACGUAGCGAAAGCUACGCUAUACCGCAUACGAUCUACGGAUGAAANCGGGGGACCGCAAGACCUCGCGCGAUUGGAGCGGUCGAUAUCAGAUUAGGUAGUUGGUGAGGUAAAGGCUCACCAAGCCGACGAUCUGUAGCUGGUCUGAGAGGACGACCAGCCACACUGGGACUGAGACACGGCCCAGACUCCUACGGGAGGCAGCAGUGGGGAAUUUUGGACAAUGGGCGCAAGCCUGAUCCAGCAAUGCCGCGUGCAGGAUGAAGGCCUUCGGGUUGUAAACUGCUUUGUACGGAACGAAACGGUGAGCUCUAAUACAGUUUGCUAAUGACGGUACCGUAAGAAUAAGCACCGGCUAACUACGUG
rnacentral:rRNA from 1 species